CUCCCUGUAGCUCAGUUGGUAGAGCAUGGUGUUUGCAACACCAGGGUUGUGGGUUCGAUUCCCACGGGGGGC
rfam:Salmo salar isolate Sally breed double haploid chromosome ssa13, whole genome shotgun sequence.